rnacentral:rRNA from 1 species
UACGGGGGGGGCAAGCGUUGUUCGGAAUUACUGGGCGUAAAGGGCUCGUAGGCGGCCAACUAAGUCAGACGUGAAAUCCCUCGGCUUAACCGGGGAACUGCGUCUGAUACUGGAUGGCUUGAGCGUGGGAGAGGGAUGCGGAAUUCCAGGUGUAGCGGUGAAAUGCGUAGAUAUCUGGAGGAACACCGGUGGCGAAGGCGGCAUCCUGGACCACGACUGACGCUGAGUGAGCGAAAGCCAGGGGAGCAAACGGG